CCAACAUGCACUCCAACCCAUUAAAACCUACCUAACCCUCUCAACAGCCCAAUACACACCACCUGCGACCCGGUCCGGCCCAAUUCCCUUAUCCCUUAUUUCCUUAUUCUUCAAACCAAGGGAAAACCAAAAACAGCAGUGGACGCGUACAAGCAGAAGCAAAAAUCUCACAUCACAACUCCAUCAACCCUUCUCGUACCGACCCGUAACCUGCACGUCCUUAGCCUUCACCACGCGCCCCACACAAACUCGUUCGUGAAAGCCUAGAAGCUUCCAAAAAUUGGUGAGUUGGCUUCUCCAACGAAUCCAUUUCGCAAAUCUUGGGUACCAUGGUUCUCUGUGAGGAGUUCUCCUAAAAAAUGAAAAGGGAGAAAAUUUCAGGGCUCGAAAGAGGAGGGUUCGAAACUUCUAGGGUGUAGAAAUCUGAGGAGAGAAGAAUUUUUGUCACUGUUUAGGGGAUCUUCUUGAUUCUUUUCUUUCUCUUCUGGAGUUGGAAAUUCUUUGGAAAAAAUUCUAAGUGGUGGUGGUUGCGAUCUUGACAAAAGUUCGAGUCUCGUUUGCUGCCACGAAACAGGUAACUCCCCGUUCCAUUGAAUUUUGUUUAUUUCUGCUUCAUCUCAUUCUUCUCUAGUUAUAAGUCUUAUAGCGAUACUGCUUGCUGGGUUGUCUGUUGUUGGAAGUUUUGAAGACUGUAGGUUGUUGUCUUAACUUUUGAUAGUUUUCAUUUUCGGAUUGAUGGUAUUCGAUUGUAGCUGACUUUACAGUAAAGUUGCAUGUUUUGACGAUUUUUGGGCUGAAGGUAUAUUGUUAUAGUUGAUUCCUAUGUUAAAGUUCGGUGUUUGGUUAGUUUCAGUUCAACGGUGCCUUGGUUUUGUAAUUGAGGAUUUUUGCUUUGAUCUUAUUCAAUAGUUCGAACCAAGGGUGUUUUAUUUGACGUCAUCUUGUUUGUUGUCAUUAGUUGAUGUUGUUGAACUAGUAGUGUCAUUAACCGUACUUCCUCUUGAGUCUUUGUCUUCUUCUAUGACAAAGAACACGAGGAUAUAUCUGAUAAAAGUAGUGAAUCCCAUAAUUCCUCGAUGAUCGUUUUGACUUUUAAACUCAUUUUGAGUUUGUCAAAAGAGGAUGAGGUUGAUAUUUGUGUCCAUCCAUCUCCUUUUUGGCUUUAUUUUGUCUCUUGAACUCGUUGCCAAUAUGUGGUCGGGAUAGGGAGACGGAUGCGCUAGUUGCGAAUUUGGAGUAAGUCUCUUUAAAGAAAAUAGUUCAAUUUUGUUUUCUUUAUGGGAAUGGAGUGUCACAAUUUUUGGUUUCUUUGAAUAUCUACUGAUUGGAUGAAAUUUAUGUUUAUACGUCCACCUCGCUUCUUUUCAUGUUCAUUCUGUCUCUUGACUAGGACAGGGGAAGGCUAUGUUUAUGCACACAAUUCCCGAAACAACUUGCACAUCAUUUUCUCUUCAUCUCUACUAACUUGAGAGUAUCAUAUAGUGUGGUAUAAUUGGUUUAUUUGAAGCGCAUGACUGCAUUACGAUUUUAGUGUUGGAAAUUAAUAGUGUUCUUGAUUUAAGUGAGACCCUCUUUGCUUUUGUUGAUUGGAUUGUCCUGUAUACUAUACAACAUACGAGAAAAGAGGUGAAACGAACUUAUCUUGGUUCAUCUGUAGCAUAAAUUUAAGUAUCUAUUUUUGGGAAUUAUCUUCAACUCUUCAAUUUUGUAUUUCGGUUGAAUGUUUUUAUAGCCAACUGAUAAAAUUUUCUUAGUUUCUGUGUAUUCCUUCUCAUAAGUAUACACCGGAACCUAUCAUUUUGUCAAAAGGAAUAGAUUGCGAUUUACUAUUAAUGUACGGUCCUUUAACAAAUGUUACAGCAUCCCUCUACUGCAACAAACAAAACCAACAUUACGUCCUAUUGUCUCAUUUAAUGGUCAUCACAUGCGAUUAGGAAAAGUGACCUUUUACUAGAAUUCUUUCAUGCAUAUGUAUACUUUCAUGCCAAAGUCCAGUAUAAUAUGGCGUGUUCUCUUUGAUCUCUAUGUUAAAAGUUCAAAACCAAUUAAACACAAUUGUAUGUCGCAUAUAUCACUAAUCUAGUAGCUAAGUUUCCUUUUAUGUAUCGAAGUAGUGAUUUUUUUUAACAGCUUUGGACUUUUUGAAUUUUUUGUGUUAUAGAAGUAAUUCAUUUUUAUGAACGCGUAUUAAUUCAUAUAUCUUUUCUUUGCAUGCACACCUCUUGGAGCCCAAAUGGGCUUCUUCUCUCUUUGCAUUUCAUAAAUGUGCCAAUGAGGCCUAUCCUUCCGAGUCAAGCCCGAAUGAAAGCCUAAAGUUGAGCAUGCGGCAUAUGGAUACGAGAAUUCGAAAGAGAAAUAAUGGAUUAAAAUCCCAUUGAAGCGGCCAAGUGAUUAGAAUGUUUCUUUUCUUUUAUUUGUUUAUUUAUUUUAUCGUCUUUUAUUUAUUUGUUUAUUUAUUUAUUCCUUUAUUUCAUUUGGGCCUUGAAGCCAAAGUUGUAAAUUUAAUGCAGGUAGAGCGAGACUCGAGCCAAAGGCUCGAAAACUAGACUAAGACAGGUGAAAUGGGUUGAAAACCCAACUAGAUUAGGAAAGGGCCGAUGGUUUGGGCUUGAAAGCCUAAAUCACUACUUCCCAGCUUUUCUCCCUUUUUCCUUUCGUUUACUUAUUUACAUGUUUCUUUAUGAACUUAGUUAAAAUCCCUAACUAAGUCGCCUAAAUACUGGUUUUGUAUAAACACUAAAAUUGCUUUUCUUUGCAGAAGUUUAACUUUUUUCAAAAGUUAGUCAAAGUCGAUUUUCAAACAGUACGGAUAAUCGCAAGUUAGCGGACGUUUUAGGUGCCUAACACCUUUCUUAAAUGUUAAUAGAAACCGCCUAUUUAGAAUCUCUAACUUAAAAUGAUUUUCCUAUUUUGAAUCGUUUGAAGUAACUUUUAUAAAGAUUUCUUAAUUCCUUUUUAAAAUUAAGUGGUGACUUUCAAAAGUCAAAAUUUUCGCAAAACAGAAAUGGCGACUGUUGGGGAUUUUUAAUUAGGUUCUAAUCAAAUGUUUGAUUUCAUCUUUUGAUUAACUGUUUGUGUUUAUAUGUUUUGAUUCUGUAAAGUUUAACUAUCGCAUUUCAUGGCAUAUUCCUGUAUUAUUUAAAUUGUUGUGGGGUUUUGUGGAUUUCUCGGCCCCUAUUGUUCCAUUCUAAUAAUGUGUUGGAAAUACGAACGACUUAUUAGCAUGUGAGUCGUCUGAUGGCUGUUCAUAUUUUCAAACUCAAGCUGUCCGCUUGAGAAUCAGUGUUCAAACCCACUUUAGACAUCUAGGAUAGAAUGAAACCAAAAUCCUAUUUUAGGCAUGAGCCUAGGACAACCCAAUACUUAAGCAGGGUAUUGGGCCUAUUAGAAAACCUAUCCUGCAUCUAUUGAUCCCGAGUCAAUUAUAGAUGAAUCAUAUUUAUGUGUUGAAGAAAAUGUAUGUCUGUCUAAUUCAAUCCAUUAUCUUUUGGGGUCGGGAAAAAGCUCAAUUUGCUAACUUUCGUGAGAAAAAUUGAAGCAAGUUAAGCAAGAAACUGAUCGAUUUAGGAGGUUGCAUCUAAGGCACAGUAUGAAUGUCAACGGAUUUCACCAAUAUAAGAAAUGGAUGAAGCUAAGAAGUAGAAGGAUGAUACAAGAAGCAUUCAGUAAUUAGUAUCCCCUGCAUGGAACAUUAUUUCCUUUCCCUACAGAUUGUAUCCCUUUUGUGUAACUUUUGUAGACAUUUAUGUCAUUUAUGUAUACCUAUGAAGGUUUUUUGGGAUAAUGGAUUGGCUUUAAUAAGGCA